rnacentral:tRNA from 2 species
GGGCCCAUCGUCCAAUGGCAAGACGCCGCGCUUGCAACGCGUGAGAUCGGGGUUCGAAUCCCCGUGUGGUCCA